rnacentral:rRNA from 1 species
UGGGUAACCUGCCUCAAAGAGGGGAAUAGCCUCCCGAAAGGGAGAUUAAUACCGCAUAAUAUGUUUAAGUCGCAUGACUUUAACAUCAAAGGAUUUUCUUUUAGAACUUCCACUUUGAGAUGGACCCGCGGCGCAUUAGCUAGUUGGUGAGGUAACGGCUCACCAAGGCAACGAUGCGUAGCCGACCUGAGAGGGUGAUCCGGCCACAGUUGGGACUGAGACACGGCCCAGACUCCGUAGGAG